GGAAUUACUGGGCGUAAAGCGCAUGCAGGUGGUUGUUAAGUCAGAUGUGAAAGCCCGGGGCUCAACCUCGGGAAUUGCAUUUGAAACUGGCAGACUAGAGUACUGUAGAGGGGGGUAGAAUUUCAGGUGUAGCGGUGAAAUGCGUAGAGAUCUGAAGGAAUACCGGUGGCGAAGGCGGCCCCCUGGACAGAUACUGACACUCAGAUGCGAAAGCGUGGGGAGCAAACAGGAUUAGAUACCCCUGGUAGUCCACGCCGUAAACGAUGUCUACUUGGAGGUUGUGGCCUUGAGCCGUGGCUUCGGAGCUAACGCGUUAAGUAGACCGCCUGGGGAGUACGGUCGCAAGAUUAAAACUCAAAUGAAUUGACGGGGGCCCGCACAAGCGGUGGAGCAUGUGGUUUAAUUCGAUGCAACGCGAAGAACCUUACCUACUCUUGACAUCCAGAGAACUUUCCAGAGAUGGAUUGGUGCCUUCGGGAACUCUGAGACAGGUGCUGCAUGGCUGUCGUCAGCUCGUGUUGUGAAAUGUUGGGUUAAGUCCCGCAACGAGCGCAACCCUUAUCCUUGUUUGCCAGCGAGUAAUGUCGGGAACUCCAGGGAGACUGCCGGUGAUAAACCGGAGGAAGGUGGGGACGACGUCAAGUCAUCAUGGCCCUUACGAGUAGGGCUACACACGUGCUACAAUGGCGCAUACAGAGGGCAGCCAACUUGCGAGAGUGAGCGAAUCCCAAAAAGUGCGUCGUAGUCCGGAUCGGAGUCUGCAACUCGACUCCGUGAAGUCGGAAUCGCUAGUAAUCGUGGAUCAGAGGGCCACGGUGAAUAGU
rnacentral:rRNA from 1 species